CUUGCUAAGAUAAGGAAGAGGGGUUCAAAAAGCAGGUCCAGUUCUGUGGCCAGCCCCCUCUUCAGCCACCUUGCUGAUAAUUAAGCGAAGUUGACAGCAAUUGCCAUGUGCCCAAACACCUUAAAAAAAUGAAGGAUUUUUUGUCUUUAUAUCCCCUUUACUACUGAGCAGUUCCCUCUCCUGCCCAGCAAACUAUUUCUUGUAACAAACAAUAAAAGCAUUUCGGCCAAAUUAGCACAUCGCCUGAUUCUGACGGCAUCUGUGAUGUCUAACACCCUUAGUCUGUGACCUUUGCAGAGCAGGGCAGAUGGCUGUCAAGAGACACCUAGCAGCACUGACCUCGGCGAGGGCCCUGUCUUGGAGGGGGCAGGGAGCUAGAGAGCACCGGGCCUAGGGUCUGGAAGACGGGAGUCCUGACCUCACCGCUGACAUCCCCCCAGCCUACAGCCAGUACCUAGUGAGCCUGUCCAUCCAGUCCCUGUAUCACCGCCCAUCUUAGCAAUCUAUGGCCAGAAAGGUUUUUGAGAAAUUGAUUUUGAAUGAAUGACAAGGCAUUAAGGACCUACUGCGUGCCAGGCAUUGGGCUAGCCACUGGGCACACAUGUGAAAGAUGUUCUCCUGGGGGAGAACAAGAAAACUUUGGAUCUGGGGAGUCCCAGGGAUUGUCUUGCCCCUUCAGGCAGUCAUGGUAAUGACUGAUCGCCAUCAGGGAGGGAUGGAAGCUGCGGAGGGACGUGGCAAGAUGUGGAGCAUGGCCUGGGGGUCCAAGAGAGCUAUUGUUUGUAUGUGUGAGAUUGUUGGCGUUUCUCCCGACAACCUUGAUUCCGGCUUUUGACUCACCCUGCCUGGCAUUUCACGUGAUAUGCUCUGCACAGAAGUUAAAUAGACAGGGGGACAAUGUACAGUCUCAUCUCCUUCUUCCCCAACCUGAACCAACUGGCUGUUCCACGACUGGAUCUCACUUUGCUGCUUGGCCCACAUGCAGGCUCUUCAGGAGACAAGGAAGAUGGUCUGGUCCUCCCGUCUCAGUCCAUGGUGACCCGCACAGUCAAAGGCUUCAGUGCAGUCGAUGAAGCGGAAGCAGAUGGUUUUCUGCAGCUCCCUCCCCUUCUCCAUAAUCAGCGAAUGGGGCAAUUUGGUCUCUAGUUCCUCUGCCUCUGUGAAAACCAGCCUACUCGCCUGGCCAUUCUUGGUUCUCCUCUUACUGAAGCUGGCCUGCGGAAUCUUAACCUCGCUGGUGGGUGACGUGAGCACAAAUGUUUGGUAACCUGAACAUUCCUCGGCAUUGCCCUUUGUUAGGACUGAGACAAAACCUGAUCUUUUCCAAUCCCGGGGCCACCGUGGAGUUUUCCAAAUUUGCCCGCAUAAUGAGCACACUUUGACAGCAUCAUCUCUUAGGAUUUCCAUCACCUCCCCGGGCUUCCUGUUAGCAGUGCUUGUGUGCCUUCAUCAGCAAUAGGGACAUUGGAAGGAGCCAGGGUUUCGGGACACAAGAACAGCUUCAACUUCAGACAGGUUGAAUCCAAAGUGUCUAACGGACAUCCAGCUCGAGAUCUCUGAAAGGCAGUUGGAGAUGCCAGACUGGAGGUCAGCAGAGAGGUUAGGGCAGAACAGGUGGUUUCCUCCUCCAUAACAGAUGUCCCUUCCUCUCCUCUGACACUGCUCCUCUCCCUUCUCGCAGUGCAGGUCCCUGUCACCUCACACCUGGACUAUGUCAGUAGCUGCUGGGGGAGGGGGGGCAGAGGUGGGUUUGCCUGCCUCAGGUCUCUCCCCCCUCCCUUCCUAAGGUGCAGGUGGGAUCAUGCCCCUCCCCCCCCAUAAGCUCCAGAGGCUAUUCCCCGUUAUUAGGACCAAAUGUAAAAUCCCCUCUGGUUUUCAGAGCCCUUCACCACCUGGCCUCUUCCCGCAGGUCAGUGCCACUGGUCCCCUUUCCCUCUCAGGGGCACUCUCACUGCUGCCCCCCAUCCCUGGAAGUCUUUCCCUUCCCGUGCCUGAUUCUUGGCUUCUCUGGCUUCCUUCAAGUUCCAGAUACUCCUCAGUGCUGGUGCCCUUCCCCUGCAAUUUAUCUCCUCUGUAGCUUGGGUGCUCAUGAUGCCCCCAGUUCUCUUCCCUGCUAGGCUGAAGGCAGGGGUUCUUUGCCUUUGUAUUCCUAAUGCUUGGCACAGUGCCUGUAAUGUGACAGUAUUGAUACUUAUUAAUUCCGUAAUAAAUACAACACGAAUAUGUUGCAUAUAAAUCUAUAAUAUACAUAUAUAAUAAAUACAAAUAAAAUAUGAUAAUUACUAUAUCAAUAAUUGGUGGGGAAAUGCUAAAAACAGAGGAAAGGGGGAUCAGGGAAGGCUUCUCAGAGGCAGAGUGUGAGGUGAGCUUCAAAAGGAACUUUUCCGGGAACGAGAGUGGUCACCGAGAGGUGGGAAGGCAAACGCUCAGUUGGAACGUCAUCUCUAGGGAGCUCGAAGGGGAGUAAUGUGAAAUCCUUCUGGAGACGUGGUUUGGGACCAGGUUAUUAAGGGCUUUCAAGGGCCAGCAGAGGACUCUGCAUUUGAACCCAGAAGCAAUGCAGAAUGAAACUUCUUGGAGCAGGGGAGGGUCAGGGUCUGGUUGGAUGUGGGGCUUGUCAAUGCGGCUGCUGUGUGUAGGGCAGAUGAUAAGAGAAGACUGGAAGCAGCAAGCCCAACAAGGAGGCUGGACAUUUUACAGAUGAGCAAACAGGCCGAGAGACACCGAGCAAUAAGCCCGAGGAUUUCAGAGAAGUGGCGACUCCCAGCGCUACUUCUGUCUGGCUGCAUUCAUCAUCCGUCUUCGGCGCUCUCCCCCCCCCCCAUUAACCGGGGAUGUUAGGUCUCUCGCCAGGCCUAACGUUCACUGCCAAGCAAAAACGCCCAGCCUACCGACGCGCCUCAAACCGUCUCCCGGAGCUGUCUGCAUCUUCCGUCGCAACACGUCCAACACAGAAACUGUGUCUGCUCCUUCGGCCCACCCCGGGUCCAGACUUCAAGGCUACCAAGCACCAGUCAGCCCGUUCUUGGCUCUUCCUCCCCCCCAACAGCCCAUCAGCGGCCGCGAAGUGACUGGACGCCCCACCCCCGUCCUCUGGCUCCCCUCCAUGCUACAAAAUGGUGGCAUUUUGUAUGGCCUUCCGGUCAAGCUGGCGGAGCGGUGAGGACCGUGCGCCUCCACUCAGUGCGUGUGCCUGGGGGCUCCCUCCCUCUCCACCUCUCUAGAUUACUGGUUCUUCCCAGCCGCCCGCAAGGCUUGCCUCAGCUGUCACCUCCUGGGCAGCUCUCCCGAUCCCUCCACACGUCAGUACUCCUGUGAUCCAGUUACCCUGCGUGUCACAUGCCUCGCGGGACAGCCUGCAAUCUGAGGGCAAGCGCCGUUUCAUUUUUGUACGUCUCUCUGGUACCUGGCAAAUAGCUGGCACUUACCCUCGACUGAAGCAGCUCCCUGGGGAAGAGGUGUGAGGCGUCAUGCACAUGUCAGUAGUGAUUCAUCCACUCCUACAGACUUCGAUUAACCCCUCCCCAAACAUCUCCAUGUAAAUCACUCAAAUCCCAAGUCCUCCAGAUGAGUUAACAUCAUUUUCUAUUUAGCUGAUUUUUUCCACACCCCACCCCCCCUCCGCUCCCCCAACGCUAAUUUUUGGCCUAGACCUGGGAGUUGAUUAGUGUUAGCAACUCCAGGUAACCUGAGGAAAUUCUCUGUUCUGUCAAAGUUGGGGGUACAGAGUAGUUUGGGAUAGAAUAAGAGAUCAGGAGGUCUGCCUGGUGCCACAGAGCCACAGCACAGUGCCACAGCGUCAGGGGCAGAAUCUGAGCCCCCUACCCCCAAUUUAAACUUCACACGUCUAACAUGAUCUGGGACCAGGUCAUAAAGGUUGGUCGAGUUGAAAUGACAAAAAGAGCCGAGUUCUUCAAAACCGGGUGGCACCAUUCAAUCUUCUUUCCAACGCGUUUCCUGCACAGAUCUAGAGCAUUCAAGCACACCUCAAAGCCAAAGAGAGAGCCACUCAGACUGCUCCCCAGGAGGCAGAGGAUGAAGAACAUGGCCGAGAGGACCACCUCAUCCCACAGGAAAACCAACCUAACCAAUUGUUACUAACUGCUAAGCCUUAUGGGCAGGGGGAAGAGAAAUCUUUCCCUAAGUUUCCAGUGGAAUAGAACAAAACGUUUCCAAGUACACUAAUAGAAAGAGAAGAACCUAGAGGCUAUUCCAUCACACAGUCCUUUUGCCCUCAGAAUGUCCUUGGAACAGGAAAAACUGGGAUGAAGGAGCCAGCACAGGGAAACGCCCGGGGACAACACUCUCAUCUGUCAUCUCAUCACACUUCUGCUCUCUAGAAUUUUAACAGCUCCUGGCAACAUGACUUGUAAGGAGCAAUAUCCCAAUCUCCACCAGGGAGUGGAAAGACCCAGGCUAGCCCAGUGCAGUGGAAAGGCCCAUGCUAGCCCAGCAGAGCGGAAAGGCCCAGGCUAACCCAGCAGAGCAGAAAGGCCCAGGCUAACCCAGCAGAGCGGAAAGGUCCAGGCUAACCCAGCAGAGCAGAAAGGCCUAGACUAGACCAGUGGAGUGGAAAGGUCCAGGCUAGACCAGUGGAGUGGAAAGCCUGCAAAGUCCUUCCAAGCAGGAGAGGCUCCCAGGAUGGAUGUGAGGCACAUCUGGGCCCCAAACCAUGACCUCCAACACGAAUCACCAGACAAAAUACCCACCCACUUCAAUGCCUGUCCCAUCUGCUUCUAAAGGGAUGGUAACAAAGUAAUGGGGAGAGGGAUUCUCAGAACUUGUGACAGCCUGCCUCAAGGUCGGGAACAGCUGGGUUCAAGGCCUCCCUGGCUCCCUCUUCUUUGCUCCUGGGCAAACCACUUGACAUCUCAUUGCUCUAGGUAACCCUCCACAUUGCAGAGAAGGUGCAGCCUGCACUGGUGCCUAUCCCUCUGGCCCACGAGUUCUUAACCUCUUUUUGAACCACAGAUCCCCUCUGGCAACCUGCUGAAAUACUGGAUCUCUUCUCAUAACGUUUUUAAAGACACAAGAUAGAUGCAUAGGGGGAAAAGUUAUUAGAGGGAAAGUUAUCCAGAUAUAUUUAACCUCCACCCCACCAAGUUCAUGGAUGCCAGGUUAAGAAUGCCAAUGCUGGGACAGGCUGUCCUCGUACUGUGGGAUACCUUGAUCUCCCGAGAAGUGAUUUCUAAAGGGAGAGAACACUGACCAGUAAGGUAAUGAGGGAAGACUUCUUUUACCAUCAAGUUGCCUUCUGUAGAUUACUGAGGACAAGAAAGAGAGAGACAGAGAGUGUGUGUGUGUGUUUGUAUGGGACUUUUGUUCUUGAAUACCCUCAGGGCCCAGAUGAUGAGGGCCUUGAGGCUGCUGGGUGGAUCCUUUGGAAGGAUUCAUUAAAGACCCAAGUCAGGAUAUCCCAGAAGGAGAAAAUAGGGAAGGAUUUGCCCCAUGUUAGAAGAGAGAGAAGACUCACCAGUGAAACCCCACAAAAGCAGCUGUCAUGGAGGCAUUCAUGGAAGAAAGACUCUUAAUAUAGGAAGAUUCUCACUGAACUAAAAAAAAGGAUAAACACCUUUCCGACAGACUGUUUCCUCAUAGCUGCCAAGGACAGACAGAUUCUGGUUUGUCUCUCAUUACACAUGAACACACCAACUAGACACCAAUUAAGCCUCACAGUAUUUCUUGCUGAUCCCCCUGAAACAACCACAGGCCAACGACCUGGCCAAGCAGGCUGGCUGUCUACAACUUCACAAAAUGAGACGAAAUACCCAACCCACUGUUGAUGGGUCCCCCUCCCCGAGUAGAAUGCUGCUUUUUAAGAUUCACUGUUGGCUAAUUUCACAGAAUUCACCUUUUAAAUAAUGGAAAAAUGUCCACAUACACAGCGAAGAUUCAGUUAAACAUUUAAAAUUUAUUAAACUUUUUGAUCAAAAUAGUUGAACAAGUAUAUACAAUCCCAUUGUGUUAGUACUGAAGUGUUAGGAACAAGGUAGGCCCCGCUGCUUCCACAGCUCUGUUCUGCCCUCUCAGACUUGGGAACGGUGCCCCAGCCAGGAGAUACGGGAGUAAGAACUCCUCUUAGACUCUCAGUUCAUUCACAGCUUAGGGGGCUCAAUGGACAGAGCAGGGGACACAAAACGAGGGCUAGACGCAUGUUUAUCUGCACCGCCACGAGCAGGAUUUGCAGCUCCCGCCCCUACUGUGGGAGGCACCAAGUUGUGACUCUGGUUUAUUCCUUAACUGCCCAGCAGUAUUGCCAUAGCACCCAUCACCUAUGGACUUUUAUACCCGCAUUAGUCUUGGGACAUCCUGACUCCUCACG